rnacentral:rRNA from 1 species
AACGAACGCUGGCGGCAGGCUUAACACAUGCAAGUCGAACGGUUGUAGCAAUACAGCAGUGGCGCACGGGUGAGUAACGCGUGGGAACAUACCUUAGAGUCGGGAAUAACAGCGGGAAACUGCUGCUAAUACUCGAUAUUCUCUCCGGAGGAAAGAUUUAUCGCUCUAAGAUUGGCCCGCGUUAGAUUAGCUAGUUGGUGGGGUAAUGGCCUACCAAGGCUACGAUCUAUAGCUGGUCUGAGAGGACGACCAGCCACACUGGAACUGAGACACGGUCCAGACUCCUACGGGAGGCAGCAGUGGGGAAUAUUGGACAAUGGGCGAAAGCCUGAUCCAGCCAUGCCGCGUGAGUGAUGAAGGCCUUAGGGUUGUAAAGCUCUUUUGUCAGGGAAGAUAAUGACGGUACCUGAAGAAUAAGCACCGGCUAACUUCGUGCCAGCCGCCGCCGUAA